rnacentral:rRNA from 1 species
AAAGGAAUAGACGGGGGCCCGCACAAGCAGCGGAGCAUGUUGUUUAAUUCGACGCAACGCGAAGAACCUUACCAGGUCUUGACAUCGAGGUAAAGCUAUAAGAGAUUAUAGUGAGGCUUCGGCCAACCGAAGACAGGUGGUGCAUGGUUGUCGUCAGCUCGUGUCGUGAGAUGUUGGGUUAAGUCCCGCAACGAGCGCAACCCUUGUUUCCAGUUACUAACGCGUAAAGGCGAGGACUCUGGAGAGACCGCCGGGGACAACUCGGAGGAAGGUGGGGACGACGUCAAAUCAUCAUGCCCCUUAUGACCUGGGCUACAAACGUGCUACAAUGGCGUUAACAAAGAGGAGCGAAGUCGCAAGGCGGAGCGGAUCUCAAAAAAGACGUCUCAGUUCGGAUUGUGGGCUGCAACCCGCCCACAUGAAGUUGGAGUUGCUAGUAAUCGCGGAUCAGAAUGCCGCGGUGAAUACGUUCCCGGGCCUUGUACACACCGCCCGU